GCUAAUCUCUUAAAGCCAGUCUCAGUUCGGAUUGUAGGCUGCAACUCGCCUACAUGAAGUCGGAAUCGCUAGUAAUCGCGGAUCAGCACGCCGCGGUGAAUACGUUCCCGGGCCUUGUACACACCGCCCGUCACACCACGAGAGUUUGUAACACCCGAAGUCGGUGAGGUAACCGUAAGGAGCCAGCCGCCUAAGGUGGGAUAGAUGAUUGGGGUGAAGUCGUAACAAGGUAGCCGUAUCGGAAGGUGCGGCUGGAUCACCUCCUUUCUAAGGA
rnacentral:rRNA from 1 species